rnacentral:rRNA from 1 species
CGUGGGUAACCUGCCCAAGAGAUCGGGAUAACACCUGGAAACAGAUGCUAAUACCGAAUAACAACAGAUGAUGCCUAUCAACUGUUUAAAAGAUGGUUCUGCUAUCACUCUUGGAUGGACCUGCGGUGCAUUAGCUAGUUGGUAGGGUAACGGCCUACCAAGGCGAUGAUGCAUAGCCGAGUUGAGAGACUGAUCGGCCACAUUGGGACUGAGACACGGCCCAAACUCCUACGGGAGGCAGCAGUA